AUGCCUUCUUCAGUUUUGACGUCUUCUUCCCCAACUGCCCCACAAAUCACCCAUCGAACCGCCAACCACCACCGCGCGCGGCCGGCAGCGCUCCCGCGCCAGCCUCGUCGCCCCACCCUCCCUUCACCACCGCCAACCGCCGUGCUUGACUGGCCCCUCGGCCAUCCCUCUAAACCAACUAAUAACCAGAUUUUUCCAGCGAGCCCUGCACCGCCCACCCCCGAUCCGUCAAGUUUCUUACUCGCCGGCUGCCGCCGACUGCGGCUCGUUCUUGGGCGAGGCCUUGUCGGCAACCCCGGGCCUCGCUUCGCUCGCCCGAGCACUGCCGUCUGUGGCCUCGGUACUGUGCGUCGUCGCCUCCUUCCUUCUCAACCGAAAUCGAAUGACCCUGAUUUUAUUUUCAAGCGACUUAGAGCAUCUACAACCAAGUUGCUCAAAAGCUCCCUAUACGUCCGAGAGGACAGCCCGGGCAGUGACCUCAUAAAAUCUUGA
rnacentral:rRNA from 1 species